GAGUAUUUUAGUAUAAGUAUAGGCAUUUUGAGAAGUGCCGCUAAAAUGUAAUUCUCCGAUUGACAGUGCCAUCUAUUAUGAAUAUGUUGAAACCACACCGGGCAAACAUUUGAAAAAGCCUAUAUUUAUUUAAUCAAAUACAAUCAUUGCACGUUCGAAACUUCUGAAUUCAAUUUAGAACACGACGUAAGUUGCAGAAACGUUCACCGUAGAUUUUUACAUUUUUAAUAAGUGAAUAUGUACUAUGGGUCUGUUAGUGUUUUAUUACAUUUAAACAAAUAUGAAAGUGUUUUAUUAUAUUGAAACAAAAGUUUUUUUUUGUUAGCUAUCUAGAUUACACUCACUUUUUUAUUUAAAGAUAAACACUCUCUUUUGUGGUUUACGCCCGUUUACUUUAAAAAACUUGGAUAGUUUUGGUUUUUUAUUCUUUAAAUUUUGUCGUCGCAAAAGUUGUUGUUCCAAAUUGAUAUUUAUUUUAUAAAGUAUUUAAGAUUAAUGUUAAAUUGGAAAAUGAAGGAUUUUAACCACAGGAAAUUCCAGAGCGACGGUUGGAGCACGCAAUCCAGCAUCGUAUUUAUUUUUUUUGAAAUAUGAGCAUAGAUGAUUAUCAUCCAGGCCGAAAUCUGCAAGGAGCGUAGUGAAUGUUACAUUGACAAACCAAUAAUGUUCAGUUGGGAAACAAAUGCUAGCAGGAGUUAUCAAUUUAAAACCUUCCCUUUGUAAUAUGUUCAGCAAUAAAAUCAUCAGGUGAUCAUCAUGUGGUUGUAGUCUAUGGCAA